AUCUAACUGACGAGUCCCAAAUAGGACGGAACGCACAUCCUAGAU
rfam:Schistosoma haematobium scaffold554_4, whole genome shotgun sequence.